CCCUUAGAUGUUCUGGGCCGCACGCGCGCUACACUGACGAAUGCAACGAGCUUAUAACCUUGGCCGAAAGGUCUGGGUAAUCUCCAAAUUUCGUCGUGAUGGGGAUAGAUUAUUGCAAUUAUUAAUCUUCAACGAGGAAUGCCUAGUAAGCGCAAGUCAUCAGCUUGCGUUGAUUACGUCCCUGCCCUUUGUACACACCGCCCGUCGCUCCUACCGAUUGAAUGGUCCGGUGAAAAUUUCGGAUAGUGGCGAUGCUGGCGGUUCGCCGCCGGCGCUGCCGCUAGAAGAUCUUUAAACCUUAUCAUUUAGAGGAAGGAGAAGUCGUAACA
rnacentral:rRNA from 1 species